GGGUCAGUAGGUUGGUCGUGCCACCGGUACGUACUGGUCUCACUGAUUCCUCCUUCCUGAAGAACCGUAAUGCCGUUAAUUUGGUGUUGCGGGGAAACAGGACUGUUACUUUGAAAAAAUUAGAGUGUUUAAAGCAAGCUGACGCUUGAAUACAUUAGCAUGGAAUAAUGAAAUAGGACGAUCGAUCCUAUUUUGUUGGUUUCUAGGAUUGACGUA
rnacentral:rRNA from 1 species